rnacentral:tRNA from 1 species
AAAGCUUUAUGUUAAAUAAACAAAUAACCUUCAAAGUUAUAAAUACAAGUAAUUCUUGUAAGCUUUA